rnacentral:tRNA from 1 species
UCCAGGGUAGCCUAGUGGACAUGGCAUCUGCCCGGUAAGCGGAACACUGUGGGUUCGUUUCCAAUUUCUGGAU